rnacentral:lncRNA from 1 species
UCUGUCCUUAUGCUAGCGGCUGUGUCCGAUGCCAUCUUCCCUCUACCAUUUCUUCCCUUCCUCCCUGGCUUCAACAACGUUCACGACCACGAUGAUGUGGAGGUUGCUAAGCCAGUGGUUACCGGUGGAAAAGCUGGAGGAAAAAGGAGAUCAGGCGGUGCUCUAGAAGCUCAGACAAACUGGCCUGGAAAGUGGGAGUUGUUCUUGGAAAACUCGGGUGUGUCAGCUAUGCAUGCAGGUCUGAUGCCACUCAUCAACCAGGUCCAAUUCUAUGACGCAACCAUCUGGAGAAUCUCAAAGAUUAAGUUGCCUCCGGGUGUUCCAUGCCACGUCGUCAAUGCCAAGACCAACAAGAUCGAUUGUUGGGCUCAUUCGGUUCUCAUUGAUGUCAACAACGGUGCCAUUAAGCCUCUAUCCGUAUGUAUCAUAUCCCCAUUCACAUACAUAAUAUCUAGCAUAAUUUGGAAUUUUAUUAAACAUCUCUAUUCACAUACUUUUAAUGAUAGCUUGCCACUGAUACAUGGUGCUCGUCUGGAGGUCUGACCGUCAACGGAACAAUGGUGAGCACUGGAGGAUACGGAGGAGGAGCCAACACGGCGAGGUACCUAGCGGCUUGUCCAAACUGCCAAUGGCAUGAAUACCCUCAGGCUUUGGCUGCGAAGAGAUGGUACUCAACGCAAGCCACUCUCUCUGACGGAAAGUUCUUCAUUAUUGGAGGACGUGACGCCAUGAACUACGAGUACAUCCCAGAGGAAGGACAAAACAACAAGAAGAUCUACGACUCAUUGCUCCUUAAGCAAACAGACGACCCGGAAGAGAACAACCUCUACCCUUUCGUAUGGCUUAACACCGACGGUAACCUCUUCAUCUUCGCAAACAACAGAUCCAUCCUCCUAAGCCCCAAAACAAACCAGGUCAUCAAAGAGUUCCCUCAGCUCCCAGGUGGUUCCCGUAACUACCCUGGAUCAGGCUCCUCAGCACUCCUCCCCAUCCAUCUUUACAUGAAAAACCCUAAAGUCAUCCCUGCUGAGGUCCUCGUCUGCGGUGGAACCCGACACGACCCCNNNNNNNNNNNNNNNNNNNNNNNNNNNNNNNNNNNNNNNNNNNNNNNNNNNNNNNNNNNNNNNNNNNNACGACGCUUAUUACCGUGCCAGCAAGAAGGUAUUGUUGGAACUAAACAUUAUAAUCUUUUUUGGCAAGGACGGUUACAGCCUAAUGAAACAUUGGUCUUACUCUUCAAAAUUUUUAGAAUUUAUAUACAUAUAAAUAGGUUCUCAAAUUAUAUUAAAAAAAGUUAUAAAUUUUUUUUAGUAUAGCACAAAAUUUCAGAUCAGGUUUUUCUUUUUGGACCGAGUAAAAUGUUGAUUUAUUUUCGUGGUCCUGUAGGUAUUCGAACCAGCACUACAAGACUGCGCAAGGAUAAGAAUCAACAGCGCUAAGCCACGAUGGAAGAUAGAGACGAUGCCGACGCCACGAGUCAUGAGUGACACCGUCAUCCUCCCUAACGGAGACAUACUCCUAGUCAACGGAGGUAAACGUGGAUGUUCAGGAUGGGGAUACGGUAAAGACCCUAACUUCGCUCCCACCUUGUACAAGCCUCGUGCCGCCCGUGGAAAGCGUUUCAGAGAGCUCGCUGCCACCAACAUCCCACGUAUGUACCACUCCGUCGCCAUCGCUAUCCCCGACGGUAAGGUUCUCGUCGCUGGAAGCAACACCAAUGACGGUUACAAGUACAACGUUGAGUUCCCUACGGAGCUUCGCGUUGAGAAAUUCUCACCACCUUACCUCGACCCGGC